UGAGUUGGCUGGGCGGCCGCGGGAUCCAGGUUCACCUGGAUUUUCGAGGAAAGUCCGGACUUCACAGAGCAGGGUGAUUGCUAACGGCAAUCCGAGGUGACUCGCGGGAAAGUGCCACAGAAAACAGACCGCCACCACCGGGUCUUCGGACUCGGGGAGGUAAGGGUGAAACGGUGCGGUAAGAGCGCACCAGCAUUCCGGGUGACCGGAGUGGCUAGGCAAACCCCACCCGAAGCAAGGCCAAGAAGGCCGCAACCUGGUUGCGGCCGCGCAGGCGCCCGAGGGUUGCUCGCCCGAGCCUGCGGGUAGGCCGCUCGAGGCACCCGGCGACGGUGUGUCCAGAUGGAUGGUCGCCACCUCGCCGCCGCGGUCAGCCGCGGUGGUGCGGGACAGAAUCCGGCUUACAGGCCAACUCAUCCG
rnacentral:RNase_P_RNA from 1 species